CAGGGCCAGGAACGCCUUCCCCUGGGGCCGGCCGAAUCCAGGGGAGCGGGGCCCGUCGCAGGGAACGGCGGUCACCGGGAGCAGCGGUGCCAGCGCCCCGAUCGCCCUCUCCCCCCUGCUGAACGGAGCACCGCGGCCUUUGGGCUGCGAUGUCCCCUGGGCGCGCCUGGGUCACCUGCCCAGCUGCGUCUGCUCCCUGCUGUGCCCAGCGGGAAUCCAAACCCGCCCCAGCUCAGCCCCUGGGGAGAAAAUGAACUCCAGGCCGGGGAAACCAGCGGAGCACACCGCGGUGAUAGAGGUGUUUGCUGUAGGCACGCUAUGGCUUGUGGUAAAACACAUCUGUGAGCCUGCCCACAGCUGGAGCCACGCGCACUUGCAAAUUUAAACUGGGGGAAUUACUGCAAGGUCCCUGUAGUAGUCCUGUCUUGGAAGCAAAGACUACAAAUUAGAUAUUACCAAUCUACCUCACUGCCCAAUUAAAAGUCAGUUGCAGUCCACACAUAAAGAAAAUACCUGGAAUGCAUAAUUACUGAAAAUACAAUACAGAAGGGGAAAAAAGGAUACUUUUCUUUCCAAGUCUCAGAAAAACACUAGGUGAGAUAUUCCUCGUUGUGUAAAAAGGUUUGGAGAAAUUUCUCCUUAACCCACACCAUGGAAUCACCUUUAUGUCAGGCUCCAUCUGUAGAAUUCUUAUUCAUGUAAAUAAUACAGGGCUUGAAUUCAUGUUUUCUCCAGUGAUUUUUAAACUUUUGCAUUUCACUUGAAGAGAAAAAGGGAAUCUCAUAAGCCUGAUUUUGCCAUUUUUGCCACUUCUAGCAGUGUGGAAAGGGGCAGACAUAGAAGGAGACUAUUUUUUAAUUUAAAGAAGAUGUAAGGUUGUGAGAUAACAUGAAUUUCAGACUUUUAUCAGUAAAAUUAAAUGUGUAGUGCUUAACAUGUGUGAAGUCAUGCUUCCAAAUAGAAUAUUUGCUAUCCAAGAGAUUUGCCAAUUUUACAAUAAUAGAACUGCCAUAAAUGAGACCAUAAUUAAAACCUUAUAUAGAAAAUUAUCAGCUUCUAUAUUGCUAAGUGUUGGAAUCAAGGGUCAGUUUCUCAAAAAUUUGCUCAUAUCUGAAGCAAAACAUCUUACCUGCUCAUUUGUGCAGACAGAUAGCAGCUGCAGAAGGUAGUAACCGACGCCAUUUAAGCAAGUAGGGAAGAAAGAGUGACUGGAAUUGAGAAAAAAGGAUUUGAGAUUUCAUGGCCAUGCCAUCAAAACGCCUGAGCAGUCACCGUGUACACCCAGACAGUGGCAUGUGGAGUGAAGAGGGGAAGUGGAAAAUGCAGCUACCUGACAGCUCUAGUGCCCAGACAACUGAACAAGCAGCAGAUCCACAAGGAGAAAAGAAAAGGUGUCUCAUAAUGGCCCAGCCCCAAAGUGAGCAAGAGCAAAGGACCAAAUCCAAAUUCCACAAGUAUGGAAGACUUGGAAGAUUUGAACAUUAGUUAAUUUAAUUUCAUUUCAUUUAAGAGAGCUGUUCCAGGCACGUGUUAUUCACAUGAAAAACGUGUUCUGGUGAUGGGACUAUUAAAUCCUCUGUUUUAUAUUUCUUA